GCGACCGGCAAACGGGUGCGGAACACGUACGCAACUUACCCAAAACUGGGGAAUAGCCCGGGGAAACCCGGAUUAAUACCUCGUAACAUAAUGAAGUGGCAUCACUUUAUUAUUAUAGCUCCGGCGGUUUUGGAUGGGCGUGCGCCUGAUUAGGUAGUUGGCGGGGUAACGGCCCAGCAAGCCUACGAUCAGUAACUGGUGUGAGAGCACGACCAGUCACACGGGCACUGAGACACGGGCCCGACUCCUACGGGAGGCAGCAGUAAGGAAUAUUGGUCAAUGGACGCAAGUCUGAACCAGCCAUGCCGCGUGAAGGAUGAAGGUCCUCUGGAUUGUAAACUUCUUUUAUAUGGGAAGAAAUCCAUCUUUCCUUGGGUGGUUGACGGUACCAUAGGAAUAAGCACCGGCUAACUCCGUGCCAGCAGCCGCGGUAAUACGGAGGGUGCAAGCGUUAUCCGGAUUCACUGGGUUUAAAGGGUGCGUAGGUGGUUUGUCGCGUUGUUCGUGAAAACUCACAGCUCAACUGUGGGCGUGCGGGCGAUACGGGCAGACUGGAGUACUGCAGGGGAGACUGGAAUUCCUGGUGUAGCGGUGGAAUGCGCAGAUAUCAGGAGGAACACCGGUGGCGAAGGCGGGUCUCUGGGCAGUAACUGACGCUGAGGAGCGAAAGCGUGGGGAGCGAACAGGAUUAGAUACCCUGGUAGUCCACGCCGUAAACGGUGGGUACU
rnacentral:rRNA from 1 species